rnacentral:piRNA from 1 species
CCCCACCCCGUGCAGCUUGGUGAACUAUGA